CUUCCCCCGGGAGGAAGAGAGAGAAGGGCCUGGAGAAGAUCCAAGCCCUCUUCUGAGAAAGAGGGUGAGGCCAGACAGGGUUGGUUCGGGACUUUGUUUGGGUGUGCUUGGAACUGCGUGGAGCUGGGGAAGCACCGGGAGCGGGAGGAUGAAGAUAAGCUGCGGGCUGCGGUGCUGGAUGGAGCCGGGCCCCGGGCUGCUGGCGGGGGUGAAUCACCCACCCACACCUGCAGAAAGCACCUUGCUGCCUGGAUUUGCAGCUAUCUCUGCUGAACUGUUGGUUUUUUUUCUUGAUGUAAAUAGGAAAUGACUUCUGCAGCUGAGCCUUUGUGGGCACAGGGCUAUAAAAGGCACUGCCAUUUUACAUACCACAUCUCCGCCUGAGAGAGAGGAAGGAGGCUCUGCUAUUACAGCGACAGAGUUAAUACGCAAAUAUAUGUGGCUCCAUAGGGCUUGAAUAUCUUCUGGAAGCAAAAUAGUUAUGAGGGCUGAGUCCUUUGCCUGCUCUGCAUGACUUAAAAAAAAAAUAAAGUUGUUUUUAUUUCACGCAGGGAGUCCCAGAGCCCAGCUGUUUCCACGUAAGGCUGCAGCUUGUGAGGACCGAGCAUUGCCCCCGGGCCUGGACGCAGCCAGGUUUUCUUCCAGGCAGGUCUGCAGGAGGCAGAGGAGAGGCGUGCUCUGCAUGCGAGGCCCUUCAGCCUGCAACCACUGCUCAGCCCAGCCCCUGAUGGACCUCUCCUGCUCCAAACCCUGCGGAGAAGCAGAAAAAACCGCUCAGAGCGUUGCCUGACCCGUGGGCUGUUUGUCCCCUGCCAAGCCCCACCGCGUGGCCGUGCCAGGCCAGCCCUGUGCCCCUGCUCCCCUGGGAGAGGAACCUGGCCAGGAUCACAGCAAGCCCCUGCUCGGCUCCAGGCUUACUCCAGCUGCACUUGCAGCAGGAGGAAUGCCCGGCCUGCGUCUGGCUCAUGAUACGCAGGGGAUCGGAGCAGCAGGUGGGGAGGAGGCAGGUCUGUGCUCAGAGUUUGGGCUUCUCAGUUAGAGAGCGACUGGUUGUGCUCUGCCACGGCUGAUCCAGGCCUCCCCAGAGCUCAGCCACGUUCCCAUCCAAGUGCUGUAAGGCUGCACGGCCCCAAACCUCCUGUGCACGGUGUGUCCAGGUGCUGCUGCUGGGCACCUGCGCUACCUUUACCUCCUGCGUUUCCUUUGCACAAGGAUUUAACUUCAUCAAAAGGGUCAAAUGCUCACUGACAACCAGUGUGCUCGGAUUCUUGUGGUCCUUUUCCCUCUCCCA
rnacentral:lncRNA from 1 species